UAAUACAUGUGGGGCGAGCGUUGUUCGGAAUCACUGGGCAUAAAGGGUGCGUAGGCGGCAUGAUACGUCUUGGGUGAAAUCCUGCGGCCCAACCGCGGGUCUGCCUGAGAUACGGUCAAGCUGGAGUGCGUGAGGGGUGACUGGAACGCGUGGUGUAGCGGUGAAAUGCGUAGAUAUCACGCGGAAGGCCAACGGCGAAGGCAGGUCACUGGCACGCAACUGACGCUGAGUGCACGAAAGCGUGGGGAGCAAACAGGA
rnacentral:rRNA from 1 species